AGUGAACGCUGGCGGUAGGCCUAACACAUGCAAGUCGAACGGCAGCACAGUAAGAGCUUGCUCUUACGGGUGGCGAGUGGCGGACGGGUGAGGAAUACAUCGGAAUCUACUUUUUCGUGGGGGAUAACGUAGGGAAACUUACGCUAAUACCGCAUACGACCUACAGGUGAAAGCAGGGGAUCUUCGGACCUUGCGCGAUUGAAUGAGCCGAUGUCGGAUUAGCUAGUUGGCGGGGUAAAGGCCCACCAAGGCGACGAUCCGUAGCUGGUCUGAGGGGAUGAUCAGCCACACUGGAACUGAGACACGGUCCAGACUCCUACGGGAGGCAGCAGUGGGGAAUAUUGGACAAUGGGCGCAAGCCUGAUCCAGCCAUACCGCGUGGGUGAAGAAGGCCUUCGGGUUGUAAAGCCCUUUUGUUGGGAAAGAAAAGCAGCAGGUUAAUACCCCGCUGUUCUGACGGUACCCAAAGAAUAAGCACCGGCUAACUUCGUG
rnacentral:rRNA from 1 species